GACGAACGCUGGCGGCGUGCUUAACACAUGCAAGUCGAACGAUGAAGCCCAGCUUGCUGGGUGGAUUAGUGGCGAACGGGUGAGUAACACGUGAGUAACCUGCCCUGGACUCUGGGAUAACCCCGAGAAAUCGGAGCUAAUACCGGAUAGGACCUUCUCCCGCAUGGGGGUUGGUGGAAAGUUUUUCGGUUUGGGAUGGACUCGCGGCCUAUCAGCUUGUUGGUGAGGUAAUGGCUCACCAAGGCGUCGACGGGUAGCCGGCCUGAGAGGGUGACCGGCCACACUGGGACUGAGACACGGCCCAGACUCCUACGGGAGGCAGCAGUGGGGAAUAUUGCACAAUGGGCGCAAGCCUGAUGCAGCAACGCCGCGUGCGGGAUGACGGCCUUCGGGUUGUAAACCGCUUUUGUCAGGGAAGAAGCCUUUCGGGGUGACGGUACCUGGAGAAAAAGGACCGGCUAACUACGUGCCAGCCGCCGCCGUAAUAC
rnacentral:rRNA from 1 species